AACGAACGCUGGCGACGCGUCUUAAGCAUGCAAGUCGAACGGCAACACGGGGCAACCUGGUGGCGAGUGGCGAACGGGUGAGUAACACGUAGGUGAACUGCCCUUGGGCUGGGGAUAGCCGGUAGAAAUACCGGGUAAUACCGAAUGAGGUCAUCGGACUGGGGUCUGAUGAUGAAAGGGGCUAAGGCCUCGCCUGAGGAUGUGCCUGCGGCUGAUUAGCUAGUUGGUGAGGUAAAGGCUCACCAAGGCGACGAUCAGUAGCCGGCCUGAGAGGGUGGACGGCCACACUGGGACUGAGAUACGGCCCAGACUCCUACGGGAGGCAGCAGCUAAGAAUCUUCCGCAAUGGACGAAAGUCUGACGGAGCGACGUCGCGUGGGUGAUGAAGGCGGAAACGUUGUAAAGCCCUUUUAUCGAUGAGGAAUAAGCAUGGGAGGGAAUGCCCGUGUGAUGACGGUAGUCGGUGAAUAAGCCCCGGCUAAUUACGUGCCAGCCGCCGCAGUAA
rnacentral:rRNA from 1 species